GGAGAAGAUCCUUGUCCCCAAGGAUCAAAACUCGGAAAUUGGCCUCGGAGCACAGAAUAAUCCUCCCAUGUGUCGUUCGUAGCAUCCAGGAGGAUCUGUUGAAGACGAUACGGUUGCCCCAAUAUGUUUCUUCAAUAAACUAACAUGAAAAACCGGAUGGAGACGGGAAGUCUCAGGGCAAGAGAGGUCUGUCUGUAGGGCUGUAAUUUCAGGCUAUUAGACUGAACACGUGGGCUAAACCUUCUCCAUUUGGGUUAACUGGGCUGUUGACUC